AUGGGAGGGAAGGCUCCAAAAACAAUUCUAACGGAUCAAGCCCGUGCAAUGGAGAAGGCUAUAUCUUCCCAGUGGCCUGAUACUACACACAGAUGGUGCAAAUGGCAUGUACUACAAAAAGCAAGGGAACACCUAGGACCUGUUUAUUCCAAAAAUAGUGACUUCAGAGACGAGUUUCACAAGCUGCUAGAGUAUAUAGUGACAGUAGACGAGUUCGAAACUGCAUGGGCUUGCUUAAUUGAGAAAUAUCAACUUGAAGACCAUCCAUGGCUCACUCAAAUAUACGAAGUUAGAGCAAAAUGGGCAAAGCCAUAUUUUGCAGGAGUCUUCUGUGAAAGGAUGACCAGCACACAACGUUUGGAGAGUGCAAACCACAUGCUCAAGCACUACGUGCAACCGGCAUCGUCUAUGAACAACUUUGUUAGGCAGUAUCAGAAAAUAUUGUUCGACCGCCAAUCAGAGGAAGAUUUUCAAGAGAAGAAGACUUGUGUGGGUGGCGUUGUUUUUAACCUUGGACUGCCACUAGAAUACCAUGCGAGCAAGGGCUAUACCGCAGCUAUGUAUGAGCUGUUUCAACAUGCAAUUUAA
rnacentral:rRNA from 1 species